rnacentral:rRNA from 1 species
UACGUAGGGUGCAAGCGUUACUCGGAAUUACUGGGCGUAAAGCGUGCGUAGGCGGUUCGUUAAGUCUGAUGUGAAAGCCCUGGGCUCAACCUGGGAAUGGCAUUGGAAACUGGCGACCUAGAGUGCGGUAGAGGGUAGUGGAAUUCCCGGUGUAGCAGUGAAAUGCGUAGAGAUCGGGAGGAACAUCUGUGGCGAAGGCGACUGCCUGGACCAGCACUGACACUGAGGCACGAAAGCGUGGGGAGCAAACAGG